rnacentral:rRNA from 1 species
GACGAACGCUGGCGGCGUGCUUAACACAUGCAAGUCGAACGGAAAGGCCUUGCGUUUGCAGGGUGCUCGAGCGGCGAGCGGGUGUGUAACACGCGUGUGUCCUCCGCCUGAUUGUGGGAUAUCUUUAGGAAACUGGGUCGAUUACAGGACAGGAGCGCCUGCGUCGUGUUGGGUGUUGGUAAGCUUCGGCGGUUGGUGAUGGACACGCGGCUUAGCAGCUUGUUGGUGGGGUAGUGGCUUACCAAGGCUCUGACGGGUAGCCGGCCUGAGAGGGUGACCGGCCACAUUGGGACUGAGAUACGGCCCAGACUCCUACGGGAGGCAGCAGUGGGGAAUAUUGCACAAUGGGCGGAAGCCUGAUGCAGCAACGCCGCGUGCGGGAUGACGGCCUUCGGGUUGUAAACCGCUUUCGCCUGUGACGAAGCGUGAGUGACGGUAAUGGGUAAAGAAGCACCGGCUAACUACGUG